ACAAGUAUACAUUAUAAAUAUUCCAAUUCAAGUUAUAAAAACAUUAAUAUUAAAGCGAAUACUAAAACUUAAAAGGUAAUAUAUUGCGGAACCAGUAUCUAAUUUUAAUAGCACGGAGCAUCUGAACAUAUUUAAAUUUCAAAGAACACAUAACAAGUUUGGAAAUUCAGUGUUCUGAAAAUUAGAUGUGAUUCAUUUUGGGACAUUGCUGUCAGCAAAAGAGGGUUUCCAAGUUCCAGAUUAAAUAGGAUAUCAAUGUAUAACAUGGACUACUCAAUUAUGUUUUCUUCAGUUCAUACAUAUAUUUUGUCAUUACCAGUUUCGGAUAGAUGAAAUUACACUACUGAAUAAUGAUUAAUUUUAAUAAUAUUUUAUCAUUUUUGAAAUGAAUUAUGAUUGCGAGGAAUGAAACAUUAAAUUAUUGCUAAGAUUGUAAGAAACAAACUACUAUUUAUAAAAAUACUAUAAAUUUAAAUUAAGUUAAGUUGUACCUUUGUAAACGUUUACAUUCAACUUUUGGCUUAAAACAAUCUUGUGUUCACUUAACUUAGCUUAUCUUGAGUUAAUUAUAUUAAUUAACAAUUGCAAAUCUUAGUGUUAACUCCGCCAUUGACGGUCCUCAGUCCGUAUGAAAAAGGAGGAAGGCGCUUUAGACAUUUUUCUUUUUCAGUUGAAGUAUUAAGGAUUAAUCAUGCUUCUCUUGGUUUUAAAGAUAUACCAUAGGUACUACCAUUGUCCAACUGUGAAGAAGUAGGUAGGUGGCCAAUUUUAAAAGUGCAGAUCUUUGAAGACCAGGAUGUGUAAAUGUGAAUUGGAAAGUGGCAACAUAUACCUAGUUCAGACUUCAGAAAUUUAGUUAGACAUGAUUUAUGGAAAUUGGAUUCAUUAAUUUUUGGACAUUCAAAGUAA